AGAAGAGAAAGAGGAGGAGGGUCUGUUCUUCACGAAAUUAUUCAAGGUGUCAAGCUAGUCAAUUGGGAGGGGCCGAAACCAUAAGUUUGGCGUACCUCGGUCGAUACAAAGGUAGCAGGUUGCUUAGAAUGAGUCCACUACUGAUCGUCGUGUUGAGGUGUUUUGCUAGCGUCAGGUGGGGUUUUGGUUAUGUUGUUUUGGAGUGCUUUAGCUGGUACAUAACUUAAUUGUAAGGAGUUGUAGCUAAGGGUAGUUAAAUUUUUUAAA